AACCGACCUGGCUCACGCCGGUUUAAACUCAGAUCAUGUAAAAUUUUAAAGGUCGAACAGACCUACCUUACUAGCUACUGCGCCAAUAAUAAAUUUUAAUCCAACAUCGAGGUCGCAAUCUGCCUUUCCGAUAAGAACUCUCAAGACAAUUACGCUGUUAUCCCUAAGGUAAUUUUAUCUUAUAAUCUAAACUUUAGGAUCAUGCACUUAAAAAUAAAUAUUUACAUACAAAAAAAGUUAAAUUAAUUUUCCUAUCACCCCAACAAAAUACAUAAAUCAUUAUAUGAAUAAAUCCAUUAAACCUAAAACCCAAACAAUAAUGUAUAUAUUAAACUCUAUAGGGUCUUCUCGUCUUCUAGAUCUAUUUAAGCUUUUUUACUUAAAAAUAAAAUUUUAAUAAAUUUUUACAGAGACAGCUUUUUCCUCAUCGUACCUUUCAUACAAGCUCUCAAUUAAAAAACUAGUGAUUAUGCUACCUUUGCACGGUCAAUAUACCGCGGCCAUUUAACACCUCAGUGGGCAGGUCARACUUGAAAUUAUAAUCAACAAGCC
rnacentral:rRNA from 1 species